UACGUAGGGUGCAAGCGUUGUCCGGAAUUAUUGGGCGUAAAGAGCUCGUAGGCGGUUUGUUGCGUCGGCUGUGAAAUCCCGAGGCUCAACCUCGGGUCUGCAGUCGAUACGAGCAAACUAGAGUGUUGCAGGGGAGACUGGAAUUCCUGGUGUAGCGGUGAAAUGCGUAGAUAUCUGGAGGAACACCGGUGGCGAAGGCGGCGUCCUGGACCAAUACUGACACUGAGGAGCGAAAGCCAGGGGAGCAAACGGG
rnacentral:rRNA from 1 species